UGCGCAGGCGGUUUUGUAAGACAGGCGUGAAAUCCCCGAGCUUAACUUGGGAAUUGCGCUUGUGACUGCAAGGCUAGAGUAUGUCAGAGGGGGGUAGAAUUCCACGUGUAGCAGUGAAAUGCGUAGAGAUGUGGAGGAAUACCGAUGGCGAAGGCAGCCCCCUGGGACGUCACUGACGCUCAUGCACGAAAGCGUGGGGAGCAAACA
rnacentral:rRNA from 1 species